rnacentral:tRNA from 1 species
ACCUGGGUGGCUCAGUCGUUAAGCGUCUGACUUCGGCUCAGGUCAUGAUCUCAUGGUUCGUGAGUUCAAGUCCCACAUCUGGUG